rnacentral:rRNA from 1 species
CGCCCUUAGAGUUUGAUCAUGGCUCAGAUUGAACGCUGGCGGCAGGCUUAACACAUGCAAGUCGAGCGGUAGGGGAGCUUGCUCCCUACGAGCGGCGGACGGGUGAGUAAUGUCUGGGAAACUGCCUGAUGGAGGGGGAUAACUACUGGAAACGGUAGCUAAUACCGCAUAACGUCGCAAGACCAAAGAGGUUCAUCUUGCCAUCAGAUGUGCCCAGAUGGGAUUAGCUAGUAGGUGGGGUAAUGGCUCACCUAGGCGACGAUCCCUAGCUGGUCUGAGAGGAUGACCAGCCACACUGGAACUGAGACACGGUCCAGACUCCUACGGGAGGCAGCAGUGGGGAAUAUUGCACAAUGGGCGCAAGCCUGAUGCAGCCAUGCCGCGUGUGUGAAGAAGGCCUUCGGGUUGUAAAGCAUUUUCGGCGAGGAGGAAGGUGGUGAGUAAUUUCAUCAAUUGACGUUACUCGCAGAAGAAGCACCGGCUAACUCCGUGCCAACAGCCGCGGUAAUACGGAGGGUGCAAGCGUUAAUCGGAAUUACUGGCCGUAAAGCGCACGCAGCCGGUUUGUCAGU